rnacentral:rRNA from 1 species
AUCAUUCACAAUGGGGGAAACCCUGAUGGUGCGACGCCGCGUGGGGGAAUGAAGGUCUUCGGAUUGUAAACCCCUGUCAUGUGGGAGCAAAUUAAAAAGAUAGUACCACAAGAGGAAGAGACGGCUAACUACGUGCCAGCAGCCGCGGUAAUACGUAGGGAGCGAGCGUUGUCCGGAUUUACUGGGUGUAAAGGGUGCGUAGGCGGCUCUGCAAGUCAGUCGUGAAAACCAUGGGCUCAACCCGCGGACGGCACAUGAUACUGCGAGACUAGAGUAAUGGAGGGGGAACCGGAAUUCUCGGUGUAGCAGUGAAAUGCGUAGAUAUCGAGAGGAACACUCGUGGCGAAGGCGGGUUCCUGGACAUUAACUGACGCUGAGGCACGAAGGCCAGGGGAGCGAAAGG